rnacentral:rRNA from 1 species
GUAGGUGGCAAGCGUUGUCCGGAUUUAUUGGGCGUAAAGGGCGCGCAGGCGGCCCGUCAAGUCUGGGGUGAAAGCUCCCGGCUCAACCGGGAGAGGUCUUCAGAUACUGACGGGCUUGAGGAGAGCAGAGGAGAGCGGAAUUCCCGGUGUAGCGGUGAUAUGCGUAGAUAUCGGGAGGAACACCAGUGGCGAAGGCGGCUCCCUAGGCUCUUCCUGACGCUGAGGCGCGAAAGCGUGGGGAGCAAACCGGGAUUAGAUACCCGGGUAGUCCACGCUGUAAACGUUGGGCACUAGGUGUGGGAGGUAUUGACCCCCUUCCGUGCCCGCAGUUAACGCGUUAAGUGCCCCGCCUGGGGAGUACGGCCGCAAGGCUA